rnacentral:misc_RNA from 1 species
GAUGAAGAACGUAGCGAAAUGCGAUAAGUAAUGUGAAUUGCAGAAUUCAGUGAAUCAUCGAAUCUUUGAACGCACAUUGCGCCCCUUGGUAUUCCGAGGGGCAUGCCUGUUCGAGCGUCAUUAUAACCCCUCAAGCUUAGCUUGGUGUUGGGGCCUGCUGUAAUAGAGCAGCCCUUAAAAUCAGUGGCGGUGCCAUUAGGCUCUAAGCGUAGUAAUUCUUCUCGCUAUAGGGUUCUGGUGGAUGCUCGCCAUUAACCUCUAAUUUUCUAUGGUUGACCUCGGAUCAGGUAGGGAUACCCGCUGAACUUAAGCAUAUCAAUAAGCGGAGGA